GACGAACGCUGGCGGCGUGCCUAAUACAUGCAAGUUGAGCGCUGAAGGUUGGUACUUGUACCAACUGGAUGAGCAGCGAACGGGUGAGUAACGCGUGGGGAAUCUGCCUUUGAGCGGGGGACAACAUUUGGAAACGAAUGCUAAUACCGCAUAAAAACUUUAAACACAAGUUUUAAGUUUGAAAGAUGCAAUUGCAUCUCUCAAAGAUGAUCCCGCGUUGUAUUAGCUAGUUGGUGAGGUAAAGGCUCACCAAGGCGAUGAUACAUAGCCGACCUGAGAGGGUGAUCGGCCACAUUGGGACUGAGACACGGCCCAAACUCCUACGGGAGGCAGCAGUAGGGAAUCUUCGGCAAUGGACGAAAGUCUGACCGAGCAACGCCGCGUGAGUGAAGAAGGUUUUCGGAUCGUAAAACUCUGUUGGUAGAGAAGAACGUUGGUGAGAGUGGAAAGCUCAUCAAGUGACGGUAACUACCCAGAAAGGGACGGCUAACUACGCG
rnacentral:rRNA from 1 species